GCUCCGGGCGAGGCGGAAGUUCUCGCCCAGAGGCCGCCGGGAACCCCGCGCCGCGGCUGCCGCUUUGAUUUCCAGCAAUGGCUCCGGGGCCAGAGCCGGUGCAGCCGGGGCCGCUGCCAGCUCGCAGCAGCAGUCGGUACACUAAAAUCCCGGGAAAGUGAAAACGCUUCCUUCGCGACCUCUUUGCGCAGAGCUGGUUAGACCCCGGAACCUCUCCAGCCGUGGUUACGAACCCCAACGCCGGCCUUCGCCGGCGGACACCCCCGACUCCCAGGUCUGCGGGACAAAAGGCAGCGGUGCCGUCUCGUGCGCUUUCCCACGCGGUCCACUGAAAACCUAAUUGCCUGAAAAAAGUUGCACUUCGUCGCCAGAGGAACAGCCGAGAGCCAGAGAUCGAGAUUUCAGAGUCCGGUGCUGCCACGUUUUUACUGAUCCUUUAGCCCCAACGGAACGAAACAGAGGUGCCUUUUUGCUACCAGCUAAUUACCUUCACAUGAACAAGAAAUGUAGUACAAGCUCCACGUUUGUCCUCUCAAUAGUCGAUCCUCCCUAACCCAGUACCCAAAGGCUCUAGAAAAUGAGGGGGAUGGGUUCCCGAAAACAAAAAAAGCUUUCCGCCAGCACUGCCUCUGCAUCCAGUCCACCCAAGCUGGUAUUUGUAUAUUAGCUAUAGAAUGGGCCGGAGUGGGUGGUAAGUGAAGGCUAGGGUGACGGCGACGGACCUCACGUCCACGUCCCAAGAGCGCCCGGCAGGUCCAAGUUCGCGGUCCGUGCGGAGAGCGCGCGCUUUGCCGGGUGCCCGGACUAGAGGGCGCUGCGCCACUGCAGAUCACGCGGCACCCAAUGCGCCCUCCCUGGGCACCAUUUCUAUAAUAAGUUACAUUUGAAAUAAUGCACAAACAGCAUAGCUUUUCAAGUUCUUUUGAACAGUGCUUUGUAAGUAUUUUAUGAAUUCCAAAACCUAUGCAUACUGAUCUUUCAUUCCCGAGUCAAGCACAGCCAGGGCGGGUGUGCAGCUCGCCGAGCGGAAAGCCGGUAGGAUGCACACGCUUCCCUGUACUAGUCAAACACCCCACGCAAUUUCAUUAACGUUUAAACUUAAAUACGGAAAGACUUGCACUCAAGAAAGA